UUAAGCGACUAAGCGUACACGGUGGAUGCCCUGGCAGUCAGAGGCGAUGAAGGACGUGCUAAUCUGCGAAAAGCGUCGGUAAGGUGAUAUGAACCGUUAUAACCGGCGAUGUCCGAAUGGGGAAACCCAGUGCAAUUCGUUGCACUAUCGUUAACUGAAUACAUAGGUUAACGAGGCGAACCGGGGGAACUGAAACAUCUAAGUACCCCGAGGAAAAGAAAUCAACCGAGAUUCCCCCAGUAGCGGCGAGCGAACGGGGAGCAGCCCAGAGUCUGAAUCAGCUUGUGUGUUAGUGGAACGGUCUGGAAAGUCCGACGGUACAGGGUGAUAGUCCCGUACACCAAAAUGCACAGGUUGUGAACUCGAAGAGUAGGGCGGGACACGUGGUAUCCUGUCUGAAUAUGGGGGGACCAUCCUCCAAGGCUAAAUACUCCUGACUGACCGAUAGUGAACCAGUACCGUGAGGGAAAGGCGAAAAGAACCCCGGCGAGGGGAGUGAAAAAGAACCUGAAACCGUGUACGUACAAGCAGUGGGAGCACCUUCGGGUGUGACUGCGUACCUUUUGUAUAAUGGGUCAGCGACUUAUAUUCUGUAGCAAGGUUAACCGUAUAGGGGAGCCGCAGGGAAACCGAGUCUUAACUGGGCGUUAAGUUGCAGGGUAUAGACCCGAAACCCGGUGAUCUAGCCAUGGGCAGGUUGAAGGUUGGGUAACACUAACUGGAGGACCGAACCGACUAAUGUUGAAAAAUUAGCGGAUGACUUGUGGCUGGGGGUGAAAGGCCAAUCAAACCGGGAGAUAGCUGGUUCUCCCCGAAAGCUAUUUAGGUAGCGCCUCGUGAACUCAUCUUCGGGGGUAGAGCACUGUUUCGGCUAGGGGGUCAUCCCGACUUACCAACCCGAUGCAAACUACGAAUACCGAAGAAUGUUAUCACGGGAGACACACGGCGGGUGCUAACGUCCGUCGUGAAGAGGGAAACAACCCAGACCGCCAGCUAAGGUCCCAAAGUCAUGGUUAAGUGGGAAACGAUGUGGGAAGGCACAGACAGCCAGGAUGUUGGCUUAGAAGCAGCCAUCAUUUAAAGAAAGCGUAAUAGCUCACUGGUCGAGUCGGCCUGCGCGGAAGAUGUAACGGGGCUAAACCAUGCACCGAAGCUGCGGCAGCGACACUAUGUGUUGUUGGGUAGGGGAGCGUUCUGUAAGCCUGCGAAGGUGACCUGUGAGGGUUGCUGGAGGUAUCAGAAGUGCGAAUGCUGACAUAAGUAACGAUAAAGCGGGUGAAAAGCCCGCUCGCCGGAAGACCAAGGGUUCCUGUCCAACGUUAAUCGGGGCAGGGUGAGUCGACCCCUAAGGCGAGGCCGAAAGGCGUAGUCGAUGGGAAACAGGUUAAUAUUCCUGUACUUGGUGUUACUGCGAAGGGGGGACGGAGAAGGCUAUGUUAGCCGGGCGACGGUUGUCCCGGUUUAAGCAUGUAGGCUGGUUGUCCAGGCAAAUCCGGAUAAUCAAGGCUGAGGUGUGAUGACGAGGCACUACGGUGCUGAAGUAACAAAUGCCCUGCUUCCAGGAAAAGCCUCUAAGCAUCAGGUAACAUUAAAUCGUACCCCAAACCGACACAGGUGGUCAGGUAGAGAAUACCAAGGCGCUUGAGAGAACUCGGGUGAAGGAACUAGGCAAAAUGGUGCCGUAACUUCGGGAGAAGGCACGCUGGUGUGUAGGUGAAGCCUGCGGGUGGAGCUGAGACCAGUCGAAGAUACCAGCUGGCUGCAACUGUUUAUUAAAACACAGCACUGUGCAAACACGAAAGUGGACGUAUACGGUGUGACGCCUGCCCGGUGCCGGAAGGUUAAUUGAUGGGGUUAUCCGUAAGGAGAAGCUCUUGAUCGAAGCCCGGUAAACGGCGGCCGUAACUAUAACGGUCCUAAGGUAGCGAAAUUCCUUGUCGGGUAAGUUCCGACCUGCACGAAUGGCGUAAUGAUGGCCAGGCUGUCUCCACCCGAGACUCAGUGAAAUUGAACUCGCUGUGAAGAUGCAGUGUACCCGCGGCAAGACGGAAAGACCCCGUGAACCUUUACUAUAGCUUGACACUGAACAUUGAGCCUUGAUGUGUAGGAUAGGUGGGAGGCUUUGAAGCGUGGACGCCAGUCUGCGUGGAGCCAACCUUGAAAUACCACCCUUUAAUGUUUGAUGUUCUAACGUUGGCCCCUUACCGGGGUUGCGGACAGUGUCUGGUGGGUAGUUUGACUGGGGCGGUCUCCUCCCAAAGCGUAACGGAGGAGCACGAAGGUUAGCUAAUCGGUCGGACAUCAGGAGGUUAGUGCAAUGGCAUAAGCUAGCUUGACUGCGAGCGUGACGGCGCGAGCAGGUGCGAAAGCAGGUCAUAGUGAUCCGGUGGUUCUGAAUGGAAGGGCCAUCGCUCAACGGAUAAAAGGUACUCCGGGGAUAACAGGCUGAUACCGCCCAAGAGUUCAUAUCGACGGCGGUGUUUGGCACCUCGAUGUCGGCUCAUCACAUCCUGGGGCUGAAGUAGGUCCCAAGGGUAUGGCUGUUCGCCAUUUAAAGUGGUACGCGAGCUGGGUUUAGAACGUCGUGAGACAGUUCGGUCCCUAUCUGCCGUGGGCGCUGGAGAAUUGAGGGGGGCUGCUCCUAGUACGAGAGGACCGGAGUGGACGCAUCACUGGUGUUCGGGUUGUCAUGCCAAUGGCACUGCCCGGUAGCUAAAUGCGGAAGAGAUAAGUGCUGAAAGCAUCUAAGCACGAAACUUGCCCCGAGAUGAGUUCUCCCUGAGACUUUAAGUCUCCUGAAGGAACGUUGAAGACGACGACGUUGAUAGGCCGGGUGUGUAAGCGCAGCGAUGCGUUGAGCUAACCGGUACUAAUGAACCGUGAGGCUUAACCU
rnacentral:rRNA from 1 species